UACAGAGGGGCAAGCGUUAUUCGGAAUUAUUGGGCGUAAAGGGCGCGUAGGCGGCAAUUCAAGUCAUCUGUGAAAUCUCCGGGCUUAACUCGGAACGGUCAGAUGAUACUGCUUUGCUAGAGUACAGAAGGGGCAAUCGGAAUUCUUGGUGUAGCGGUGAAAUGCGUAGAUAUCAAGAGGAACACCUGAGGUGAAGACGGGUUGCUGGGCUGAUACUGACGCUGAGGCGCGAAAGCUAGGGUAGCAAACGGG
rnacentral:rRNA from 1 species